GGAUUAGAUACCCUGGUAGUCCACGCCGUAAACGAUGGAUACUAGCUGUGGGGACUUCGGUUUCCGUGGCCAAGCGAAAGUGAUAAGUAUCCCACCUGGGGAGUACGUUCGCAAGAAUGAAACUCAAAGGAAUUGACGGGGGCCCGCACAAGCGGUGGAGCAUGUGGUUUAAUUCGAUGAUACGCGAGGAACCUUACCAGGGCUUAAAUGCAUUGUGACAGCUUUAGAGAUAGAGUUUUCUUCGGACACGGUGCAAGGUGCUGCAUGGUUGUCGUCAGCUCGUGCCG
rnacentral:rRNA from 1 species